rnacentral:rRNA from 1 species
GACGAACGCUGGCGGCGUGCCUAACACAUGCAAGUCGAGCGGGGUGAGUUCUUCGGAACGAUCCUAGCGGCGGACGGGUGAGUAACACGUGGGUAACCUGCCUCAAAGCGGGGGAUAGCCUUUCGAAAGGAAGAUUAAUACCGCAUAACCCAUAGCUUCCGCAUGGAAGCAAUGGUAAAGAUUUAUCGCUUUGAGAUGGACCCGCGGCGCAUUAGCUAGUUGGUGAGGUAACGGCUCACCAAGGCCACGAUGCGUAGCCGACCUGAGAGGGUGAUCGGCCACAUUGGAACUGAGACACGGUCCAGACUCCUACGGGAGGCAGCAGUGGGGAAUAUUGCACAAUGGCGCAAGCCUGAUGCAGCAACGCCGCGUGAGUGAUGAAGGUCUUCGGAUUGUAAAGCUCUGUCUUUGGGGACGAUAAUGACGGUACCCAAGGAGGAAGCCACGGCUAACUACGUGCCAGCCGCCGCCGUAACAC